UUUCUGCCUGGCCAUAGUCUUGACUGUACUGUUACUUCGGCAGACAUCCAUCCCUACGCCAAAGUUAGUAGUUGCGCUGCGGCCAGCCAGGUAGCCUUCACCGCUUGAUUGCUGCGGCUUUUUCAGUCACUAACGGGUGUAAUUUUAAGACGUGGAAUAUUCUACUUGUUCAAUAGCCUAUAAAUUAUUUUAUUUUGCUCCGUUAUCUUAUUCUGUCUUGGUAGGACGCAUAGGCUAAGUCUUCACAGGGCAAGGCUAUUAGGGAUAGAGCAAGUAAGGCUAUUAUUUGCAUCAGGAGUUAGCUUUCAAGCUAAAUUAAGAAGUCUGUUUUCAUGCCGGAUUUUGAACAUUUCAGGUUUUCAUACUCAAGCAUGAAUCCGUUAUUGGGAGAGAACGCGUAUCUGGUUCAGCAACAGCAGCAUAACCAGAUGGGCAGCAAUUUGGAUUCUUCCAUGACAGGCCUAGACUCAUACGGUGCACCUGACUCAGGCUUCAUCUUGGGUGAGCACACUGGCUUUGGACAAGAUGGGCUAUCUGGCCUGGAAUUUAGUGCGCUGCCACCUUCGGGACUCGCGUAUCUGCACCUGAACAACAUGCACCGUGCGCCGCCGCCCCCCGCAGCGAUGGCCCUGCGUAACGACUUGGGCUCCAACAUCAGUGUUCUCAAGACCUUGAAUUUGCGCUUCCGUUGCUUUUUGGCUAAAGUUCAUGAGCUGGAGCGUCGGAAUAAAGCUUUAGAGAAACAGCUUCAGCAGGCUUUGGAAAAUAACGAGGACAAUUCAGGAGAAGGACACAGGAAAAAGCCAUUGACUAAGGAAAUGGGAGUCCAGACGGGUUUCGUAGGGCCCAUCGCAGUUAGGCCUGGACAUAUCCCCCUCCAGAACGUCAAUAAUUCUGCAUACCUGCCCGGAGGGCUUCUCUCUCCAUCACUCAACAGACCUACAACUCCCGUCUUUGAGUCCAACAGCAAAUCACUAUUUAGGAACUCGACUCUGACGGACUCGAAUUGCAACCUCAAUUCCAACCAACUCACUCCACAUAUUUCCAUCAGUCCUUUAUUAACCCCUACUGAUCCUUUCGAGACUAUAUCCAACAUUAACGAGAAAUAUGUCCGUUUUGGGACUGGUAUGUCUACUAACCCGCCUCCCCGGUUCCUUCCCGGCACCGUUUGGUCCUACAACCACGACCGCAGGUUUGGCGCGGGGAGGGAGUCGCGCGUUACAGACAUGGGUGUGCCUUGUGCCCAAACGGACGGAGUAGGUGUACAAAUCGACACCAUCACCCCUGAGAUACGGGCCCUGUACAACGUGUUGGGCAAGGUGAAACGAGAGAGGGAUGAGUAUAAACGCAGAUGGGAGGAAGAGUAUACAUUCAGAGUGGACCUCCAGGAGAAAGUGGCUGAGCUGGAGGAGGAUCUCCAGGAGAGUGAGGUGUGUCAGGAUGAGCUGGCCCUCAGGGUGAAACAGCUGAAAGCUGAGUUGGUCCUCUUCAAAGGCCUAAUGAGCAACAACCUGUCGGAUCUGGACAGUAAGAUCCAGGAGAAGGCCAUGAAGGUGGACAUGGACAUCUGUAGACGCAUCGACAUCACGGCUCGCCUGUGUGAUGUGGCCCAGCAGAGGAACUGUGAGGACAUGAUCCAGAUCUUCCAGCAGAUGGCCACACCUCCUUCCACUCUGACUCGCCGGCCCCGAAAGCAGGCGGCCCAGUCGGUUAAAGGCGGUGAUGGGGAUGAACCAACCAGCAUCUCUGAGAGCGAGAGGGGCAAGGAUGAGGAGUCUUGUAGCACGUCAGCCAAUCAGAUCAACGAGGAGAUGCAGAGGAUGCUGAACCAGCUGAGGGAGUGUGAGUUUGAGGACGACUGUGACAGCCUGGCCUGGGAGGAGACUGAGGAGACUCUGCUGCUGUGGGAGGAUUUUCCAGGAUACACUCUGGGAGCAGUGGAGACCCAGGGAGAGCAGGAGGAGUCCAUAGAGAAGGUGAUAAAGGACACAGAGUCCCUCUUCCAGACUAGAGAGAAGGAAUAUCAGGAGACAAUCGACCAGAUCGAGUUGGAGCUGGCCACGGCUAAGAGUGACAUGAACAGACACCUGCACGAGUACAUGGAGAUGUGUUCCAUGAAGCGAGGCCUGGACGUGCAGAUGGAGACGUGCAGGAGACUCAUCACCCAGAGUGGAGACAGGAAAUCUCCCCCUCUCGUUACUGCGGCAAUGGAAGACUCUGAUGACGGAGAGAAGGAGUGGAAAAAGACGUCCCCACCCGCAGACUCUGAAAGUGAUGAACCCUACUGUGAAACACAGGUUAAUAGUGGUACGGUCCCUCACUUACCAUGGAGGAAGUCCUAACCCUUACUGAUGAUACCCUGUAGAUGUACCAUAGUCUGGAUAGUGCUGUUGUUUACAUUUUUCCCAUCAAUUAUGUAAAACCGGCAGACUCUUUCCAGGGCCAUAUGUCACCACUGCCCUCUUGUGGUUCAGGUUAUUAAAACACCUAAUCUGAGGAUAGGACUAAAUGGCACUUAAAAACAUUUCAAUGAAUUUCUUAACAUUGUGCUAUUUAUAUCUCUUCUUAUAUGAUAUGAACGAUCAAAAUAUAUACAUUUUUGUUAAGUUUGCACAUUGAUCUUGCUGUUCGUAGCAAGGUCCAACCAAAAACUAUUUGCACACAGUUUUUGUGGAAUAAAUGCCUUAUGUUACAUUGCAGUUACAGAUUUGAAACCACAGCUGAAUUUUUGAAGGCAAAAAAAAAAAAGCAAACUACUUGCACAGGAUAAGUAAUUAUCUAGUAGUCUGUUGCAGUCAAACAAAAUGAGCAUUUGCAAUUUGCUAAAGGGAAAGGACCUAGCUGUUGAUAGCCAUCUAUGAAAAUGUAUUUUCUUUAUAAUUAAUGUCCUUCUCAUGAUCGACUUUCCCUUUUUAAAAGUACCACUUCUAGGAAACCUGUAGAAAGAUUGCUUAAAAAGGUUUUACAUCCUUCAAUCUCACAACAUUUGUAUAUACACAAUAUGUUAUUAACAAAAGUUCACAACAUUGGUAUUGAUGUUGAAUUUAUUAUUAUUUACUUUAUUUGAUUACAUAUUCAUACAUACUUGAUUCAUUUAUUUCAGCACUUUUUCAGUCGUCAUUGAAAUUCAGAUAGCUAUGUAUUUAUUUUAUAUUAAAAUCACUAUAAAGAAAGUAUGAUAGUUGAUAGAUUUUUUUUAUAUGAAAUGCAGGGGAUAAUAUUAUGUAGUUUUGCAAAGAUAAUUCACAAAAGCCAUUGCUAUAAAGUUUAGAGUUAAAAGUAAAAAAUUGGUACCGUUAGCUUUGCACUGUCAUGCACAUUGCUGUGAUUCCAAACUAUAAGCAAACAUAGAAGCAUACUGCAUUAGACCCAUGGAUAGUGUUGAUAUCACAACCCACAUAAACAAGUCCUACUAAAGCACACGCUCAAUGCUAGCGUAUCAAACCCCAGCCAGCAGUGACUUUAUCUUGAACUUAAAAAAGCUCUCUGAUCAAUCAACGGCGAAUCAGACUGCCAUUUUGGUGCACUUUUCAAAUGGACAGCCAAGAGGUAUGAGUUUAAAGGCUGUGGACAAAGGGACAAGUAGGCUUCAGUAGAUGUUGGUCCUGUUCAGGACAAUCUAACAUACUGCUAGCAGGUGAAUAACUUCUUUAGGAGCUCAUUCAAGGGCACUCAAACUGUGACAUGUUACAUGUAGCACGUGAGACCUUCAUUAUCUGAACACGGGCACACCACCUAGUGUGUUUAACUGUCUGCUUUGUGAGAUCUGUGGUUUUGUGUCUGGAUGUUGCCCAGUUUCAUUGCACUUGAACAUGCUCAGUGUUUACAGUUGGAGAAAACGUAAACAACGAUCAUAUCUAGGGCUCGAUUCAAAUCAGUAGCGCAGAAGAUCAGCGUUGACAUUUAAAAGCAAUGUUUCCCGCGUUCGCGGAGACUCCAUUCACGGUAAACGCUGCAUGUGUCGCCUCAAUCAGAAAUGACCUUUGCAUUUCAAUCACACUACAACACAGAUUGUCCGCGCUCCAGAUUGAAUCGAGCCGCUCCUUUGUUUAUUGAUGUCUGAAAGCCUAUUGUAAAUACCCCCCCCCCCCUCUAUAUUGUACAGUUUGUACAUCUCCACAUAUAAGUUGCACAAAAGGAUCUAUAUUCAACAGUAAUGGUAAACACUGUAUAAAAAAUGAAAACAUAUAACACCUGUACUAGCUGUUACUGAAUGUAAAUAACAUGUCAAUGUACACUGAGAAGACAAAUCCAUGUAAGAGAAGCCAGGAAUGCAUGUGAGAUUUCAGAAAGCGAUUUCAGACAGUUUGAAUGAAACGGUGGCCAUUGUACAGGGAGUGUCUUUGGGUGUUCUAAGACUAGCUUUGUUGGUGUGCAUGUACCUCUGUCUAGUGCUGUCGGUCUUGUAUUGCAAGAAUGUUUCAGAGUUUACUUGUUCGCCUCUCUGGGGAUUCAAAACAUAUCUGUCAUAUUAUAAAACUUGAAUGUCUGCCUAGUAAAUUCUCUCAUCUUUACCGCAAAAGAGAAAACACAGAAGAAUGUACAGAAGAAAACAACAACACCAAAAGCAGUCUUAAAACUUGCAUCGCCAUAGCCAUCAAUAGACUACCAUACCUCGUCAUGCAACUGUGUACAGAAGCUCAGCAAGUAAACUUUUGAAAACAUCAAUGUUGAAAUAUGAAUAUUAGCAACAGCUGUGUAAGAAUUAUGAUUAUAUAUGGUGAAAGAGUUGAACAUUACAUUUCCAGUCUCAAAUGAUAUACACGGAGUAUACCAAACAUUAGGAACAACUUCCUAAUAUUGAAACAGCCUCAAUUCGUCGGGGAAUGGACUCCACAAGGUGUCGAAAGCGUUCCACAGGGAUUCUGGCCCAUGUUGACUCCAAUGCUUCCGACAGUUGUGUCAGGAUGGCUGGAUGUCCUUUGGGUGGUGGACCAUUCUUGUUCAUUGCAGUUCUUGACACAAAGCAGUGAGCCUGGCACCUACUACCAUACCCCGUUCAAAGGCACUUAAAUCUUUUGUCUUGCCCGUUCACCCUCUGAAUGGCACACAUACACAAUCCAUGUCGCAAUUGUCUCAAGGCUUAAAAAGCCUUCUUUAACCUGUCACCUCCCCUUCAUCUACACUGAUUUGAAGUGGAUUUAACAAGUGACAUCAAUAAGGGAUCAUAGCGCCCCCGAGGACUGGAAUUGCCCACCACUGACUGGUCAGUCUAUGUAAUGGAAAGAGCAGGUGUUCUUCAUGUUUUGUAUACUCAGUGUAUAUCGGUCAACAUGAUUGAAAUGCAGGUGACUUACAAAUAUGAAUUUGUCGAACAGCAGCAUUGUAUAGAGACGUUAUAAUGAUUAAGUGGUUGCAAAAAAAAGACUUGUACUCCGUUGAGACCAAUAUAAUUAAUCUGGGACUGUGUAUACAAUGUAUCUGUGUAACAUCACAACCUCCAGGAAUCUGGAAACAAUAGGUAAACAAUCUAUGUAUUAAUGGAAGGGGUGUACAGAAUAAAAUAUCUUGAAGGAGA